UACGGGGGGUGCAAGCGUUGUUCGGAUUUACUGGGCGUAAAGCGCGUGUAGGCGGUCUGUUAAGUCAGAUGUGAAAGCCCAGGGCUUAACCCUGGAAGUGCGUUUGAAACUGGCAGGCUAGAGUGCGAUAGAGGGAAGGGGAAUUCCAGGUGUAGAGGUGAAAUUCGUAGAUAUCUGGAGGAAUACCGGCGGCGAAGGCGCCUUCCUGGGUCGUAACUGACGCUGAGACGCGAAAGCGUGGGUAGCAAACAGGAUUAGAUACCCUGGUAGUCCACGCCGUAAACGAUGAGUGCUAGGUGUUGCGGGUACCGACCCCUGCAGCGCCGCAGCUAACGCAUUAAGCACUCCGCCUGGGGAGUACGGUCGCAAGAUUAAA
rnacentral:rRNA from 1 species